rnacentral:rRNA from 1 species
CUACAAUGGGGCAGCAGUGGGGAAUAUUGCACAAUGGAGGGAACUCUGAUGCAGCGACGCCGCGUGAGUGAAGAAGGUCUUCGGAUCGUAAAACUCUGUCCUUGGUGACGAAGAAAAUGACGGUAGCCAAGGAGGAAGCCCCGGCUAACUACGUGCCAGCAGCCGCGGUAAU